UAGAGUUUGAUCCUGGCUCAGAACGAACGUUGGCGGCGUGGAUUAGGCAUGCAAGUCGCGCGCGAAACGUAGCAAUACGUGGAGAGCGGCGUAAGGGAGAGUAAUGCAUGGUUAGCUACCCUCGGGACUGGGAUAGCGGCGGGAAACUGCCGGUAAUACCAGAUGAUGUCUUCGGACCAAACGUGUAAACCGGCCCGAGGAGGUGACCAUGUCCUAUCAGCUUGUUGGCGGGGUAACGGCCCACCAAGGCAAAGACGGGUAUGGGGCGUGAGAGCGUGCCCCCACUCACUGGGACUGAGACACUGCCCAGACACCUACGGGUGGCUGCAGUCGAGAAUCUUCGGCAAUGGGCGCAAGCCUGACCGAGCGACGCCGCGUGCGGGAUGAAGGCCUUCGGGUUGUAACCGCUGUCGUAGGGG
rnacentral:rRNA from 1 species